UACGAAGGGGGCGAGCGUUGUUCGGAAUUACUGGGCGUAAAGGGCGUGUAGGCGGCUGCGUGUGUCGGGCGUGAAAUCCCAUGGCUCAACCAUGGAAGUGCACCCGAAACUGCGUAGCUAGAGUCCUGGAGAGGAAGGUGGAAUGCUUGGUGUAGAGGUGAAAUUCGUAGAUAUCAAGCGGAACACCGGUGGCGAAGGCGGCCUUCUGGACAGUGACUGACGCUGAGACGCGAAAGCGUGGGGAGCAAACAGG
rnacentral:rRNA from 1 species